AUUGAACGCUGGCGGCAGGCCUAACACAUGCAAGUCGAGCGAGCGGCGGACGGGUGAGUAUUGUCUGGGGAACUGCCCGAUGGAGGGGGAUAACUACUGGAAACGGUAGCUCAUACCCCAUACCAUCAGAUGUGCCCAGGUGUGAUUAGCUAGUGGUUGGGGUAACGGCUCACCUAGGCGACGAUCCCUAGCUGGUCUGAGAGGAUGACCAGCCACACUGGAACUGAGACACGGUCCAGACGCCUACGGGAGGCAGCAGUGGGGAAUAUGGCACAAUGGGCGCAAGCCUGAUGCAGCCAUGCCGCGUGUGUGAAGAAGGCCUUCGGGUUGUAAAGCACUUUCAGCGGGGAGGCGUUACCCGCAGAAGAAGCACCGGCUAACUCCGUGCCAGCAGCCGCGGUAAUUC
rnacentral:rRNA from 1 species